rnacentral:snRNA from 1 species
AGCUUUGCGCAGUGGCAGUAUCGUAGCCAAUGAGGUUUAUCCGAGGCGCGAUUAUUGCUAAUUGAGAUUGUGAUCAGACCUUUGAAACUACCAAACUCCCCCACAAGAGGCUCUGUUUCCUUUUUCUGGAAUGUUUUUUUCUUAUUCCUUUCCUCAGUUAAAC